UUCGCUAUAAAAAUUUAGUAAUUGUUUAAUUUUUUAACGCAAACGAACAAAUAAAGAUAUCAAAAUUCUCUUCCUAAUAAUUUUAGCUGUUGCUAUUGUUGCUGUUUUCUGGUACAUGAUAUACCACUAUUUCAUUAAAUAAGUUUAAAAAUGUUGCGAAAAAAUGGUCCAUUUUCAUGUUCCACAAAGUGCCACGCUGCGAAGGGGCGCUGUUAAAGUGUAAUCUCAGGAAGGGCCACGACCUUACUACACUGCCACAAAAAUAUUAUACUUUCUACACUUUUAGAGAUAUUAUAAAACUUUACACUUUCGUAUAAUACUCUUUAAAAAAGAUGCCUUGAACGAUACAUUCCAUGAAAGAAAUUAUGCAAAUAGGAAAUGUGUGAAAAGCCUCGCAUCGGAAAACUGUCAAAUAAAUCAAAAAUGGACGUCCACUUGCCACUGCAACCCGUUUUUCCGGCCAAGUUCGAGCCCAUGGCGACGGUGGCGCCUGGAAACGUGCAAUUAAUCAAGAGUUCAGUAAACGCUUUUUAUGCGAAUCCCGGAGAGCAGUCCACGUCAAUCAAGAUGCGUAUUUUUGCAUGUUCAAAAUUACACAACACGUGAGACCUGGUACAGACUCGCCACAGACGACACCCGGAGCAAUGAACUUGGACUGCCGCGAUCGCCGUCUUGCCUGGCUACCCUCUGGACUCGGAGCUGGAAUCUCGGGGAACAGUUCCUUUGCACCAACUACACUGAGAUAAACAGACUCAGACAGCCAUUAAACAGAAAAGGUGUUCUUGCCUAUUAAAUAUUUCCAUUAUU